rnacentral:rRNA from 1 species
AUUGUAGCAUACAAGGCAUACGGCUCAGUAACGCGUAGUCAACCUAACCUAUGGACGGGAAUAACCUCGGGAAACUGAGAAUAAUGCCCGAUAGAACAUUAUGCCUGGAAUGGUUUAUGUUCCAAAUGAUUUAUCGCCGUAGGAUGGGACUGCGGCCUAUCAGUUUGUUGGUGAGGUAAUGGCCCACCAAGACUAUUACAGGUACGGGCUCUGAGAGGAGUAGCCCGGAGAUGGGUACUGAGACACGGACCCAGGCCCUAUGGGGCGCAGCAGGCGAGAAAACUUUGCAAUGUGUGAAAGCACGACAAGGUUAAUCCGAGUGGUUUCUGUUAAAGAAACCUUUUGUCAGUCCUGGAAACACUGAUGAAUAAGGGGUGGGCAAGUUCUGGUGUCAGCCGCCGCGGUAAAACCAGCACCUCAAGUGGUCAGGAUGAUUAUUGGGCCUAAAGCAUCCGUAGCCGGCUCUGUAAGUUUUCGGUUAAAUCUGUACGCUCAACGUACAGGCUGCCGGGAAUACUGCAGAGCUAGGGAGUGGGAGAGGUAGACGGUACUCGGUAGGAAGGGGUAAAAUCCUUUGAUCUAUUGAUGACCACCUGUGGCGAAGGCGGUCUACCAGAACACGUCCGACGGUGAGGGAUGAAAGCUGGGGGAGCAAACCGGAUUAGAUACCCGGGUAGUCCCAGCUGUAAACUAUGCAGACUCAGUGAUGCAUUGGCUUGUGGCCAAUGCAGUGCUGCAGGGAAGCCGUUAAGUUUGCCGCCUGGGAAGUACGUACGCAAGUAUGAAACUUAAAGGAAUUGGCGGGGGAGCACCACAAGGGGUGAAGCCUGCGGUUCAAUUGGAGUCAACGCCGGG